CUGUUUUGUCAUAAUGCUCUCAUAAUGUCUCGUUUGUGAAAUCACAGCAUGUCCCAUGAAUAUAUAGAACCAUUUGAGAAAUUCUUGGGUUAAAAACAAAGAAAUGUAUAAAAACAAUAUCGGACAUAUGUGGAAUAAGUACACAAGCAAAUGGUUUAACAAAUACCACCAAAAGUAAAUGAUCCCUUAUUAGCGCUGCGUAUUUUUAUGACCAAUUGCACAACAUAGAUACAUCUAUCAAGGACCUUUAAGAUUUUAAGACAUGAGAAGAAUUAUUUUCACUGGAAUAACAAUUAUUGAUGAUUGCUUUCCGGCAGACAAAGAGGACGGUAAGGUAAAAUCGCGGUGGGUACAGUGAAACAAAGUUAAUAUUUUUGGUCUACAUUCCUCGCCCACGGCUCUAACGGCAUACACCAGGAGUUAAGAAAAGUGGUAUAUAGGAUUAUUUCAUCCUCAAAAUAGACAUGACAGCGGUACGAACCAGUGCUAAGAACACAUUCUGUUCUUGGCAAUGUGACAACGAUGUUUUCUCUUUGUUUGUAGAUAGCAUAAACAAUAUAGUAAUAUCUGUGUGUUCUAAAAUACUGUAUAACAAAAAUGAAUAUAUAUUUUAUAGUGUACAGUCUAUUGAAAUAAAAAUAA